rnacentral:misc_RNA from 1 species
GAUGAAGAACGUAGCGAAAUGCGAUAAGUAGUGUGAAUUGCAGAAUUCAGUGAAUCAUCGAAUCUUUGAACGCACAUUGCGCCCCUUGGUAUUCCAUGGGGCAUGCCUGUUCGAGCGUCAUUUGUACCUUCAAGCUUUGCUUGGUGUUGGGUGUUUGUCCUGAGGGACUCGCCUUAAAGUAAUUGGCAGCCAGUGUUUGGUUUUGAAGCGCAGCACAAGUCGUGAUUCAAAGCUAUACGCCCGCUUCCACAAGCCUUUUUCACUUUUGACCUCGGAUCAGGUAGGGAUACCCGCUGAACUUAAGCAUAUCAAUAAGCGGAGGA